rnacentral:tRNA from 1 species
UGUUCUGUGGCUUAGUUGGUUAAAGCACUGGACUAGUAAUACGAAGUCGUGGGUUCGAGUCCCAUCAAAUCAA